AGCGAACGUUAGCGGCGGGCCUAACACAUGCAAGUCGAACGCGAAAGGUCUUCGGACUGAGUAGAGUGGCGCACGGGUGAGUAACACGUAGGUAAUCUACCCUUUGGCGGGGGAUAACGUUCCGAAAGGAGCGCUAAUACCGCAUAAGACCACGGAGUCUCCGGACGCUGUGGGAAAAGGUGGCCCUCUUCUUGAAAGCUACCACCGAAGGAUGAGCCUGCGUCCCAUCAGCUAGUUGGUAAGGUAAUGGCUUACCAAGGCGAAGACGGGUAGCUGGUUUGAGAGAAUGAUCAGCCACACUGGCACUGGAACACGGGCCAGACUCCUACGGGGGGCAGCAGUGAGGAAUAUUGGGCAAUGGGCGAAAGCCUGACCCAGCCACGCCGCGUGAGUGAUGAAGGCCCU
rnacentral:rRNA from 1 species